UACGUAGGGGGCUAGCGUUGUCCGGAUUUACUGGGCGUAAAGAGCGUGUAGGCGGCCACGCAGGUCCGUUGUGAAAACUGGAGGCUCAACCUUCAGACGUCGACGGAAACCGUAUGGCUAGAGUCCGGAAGAGGAGAGUGGAAUUCCUGGUGUAGCGGUGAAAUGCGCAGAUAUCAGGAAGAACACCAAUGGCGAAGGCAGCUCUCUGGGACGGUACUGACGCUGAGACGCGAAAGCGUGGGGAGCGAACAGG
rnacentral:rRNA from 1 species